rnacentral:pre_miRNA from 1 species
CUCCCAAAUUUGAAGUAGAGUAGAUUAGUAUGGUCAGCUGAUCCUACUAAUCUACUCUACUUCAAGUUUGUGCCC